rnacentral:rRNA from 1 species
AUUGAACGCUGGCGGCAGGCCUAACACAUGCAAGUCGAGCGGUAGAGAGGUGCUUGCAUCUCUUGAGAGCGGCGGACGGGUGAGUAAUGCCUAGGAAUCUGCCUAGUGGUGGGGGAUAACGUUCGGAAACGGACGCUAAUACCGCAUACGUCCUACGGGAGAAAGCGGGGGGAUCUUCGGACCUCGCGCCAUUAGAUGAGCCUAGGUCGGAUUAGCUAGUUGGUGAGGUAAUGGCUCACCAAGGCGACGAUCCGUAACUGGUCUGAGAGGAUGAUCAGUCACACUGGAACUGAGACACGGUCCAGACUCCUACGGGAGGCAGCAGUGGGAUAUUGGGACAAUGGGCGAAAGCCGUGAUCGGCCAUGCCGCGUCGUGUGAG